rnacentral:rRNA from 1 species
UACGGAGGGUGCGAGCGUUGUUCGGAAUUACUGGGCGUAAAGGGCGCGUAGGCGGCUUGCUAAGUCAGAUGUGAAAUCCCACGGCUUAACCGUGGAAGUGCAUUUGAAACUGGCAGGCUUGAGUACCAGAGGGGAAAGUGGAAUUCCCGGUGUAGAGGUGAAAUUCGUAGAUAUCGGGAGGAAUACCGGUGGCGAAGGCGACUUUCUGGCUGGAUACUGACGCUGAGGCGCGAAAGCGUGGGGAGCAAACAGG